rnacentral:lncRNA from 1 species
AGAUCUUUUUGAACAGAGAUUCAGGGUCCACCAACCCCCAGCUUUCAUCCUUGUUUGGCAACCAAAGCCUUGUUAAAAAGAUGAAAGUCUGAAAUCUAAGGGGGGAAAAUACAUUACUUAUAACCUCGUUAAAAAUGCAUUACUUAUAGCUUUGUUUGGCAACCAUCGCCCAUGUAUUUUAUUGAAUACUAAAAUGCAAAUAAGAUGCCAAAAUGAAAACCGAGCAUUUCAUGGUUUAAAAAAUGCACUUACAGGUUGAUACACCAUUUCAUCUCCAUUAUUAAACCUAUUAGUUUGUCACGGAUUACAAAAGAAGAAGAGAAAAACUUGUUGCAUAAUUUAAUAGGGGCAAAUUAUAUGGUAAAAUAUAGAAAACACAAACAAUGAACAGAAGGAAAAACAGUCUCUAAAAGAAACAGAAAGAGAGAGAGUAAACAUCCGAUAUAGAAUACAUAUGGCCCCUUCUCUCAUAAAUAAAGUGACCUAAAUCAAUAAAGGGACCGGUAUCAAUGAAGUGAUUGCCUUAGCAUAUCCGCUUUACAAAAGGCCGCCUCCAAACCCAAUGGAGAUAAUGAGUAAAAUUUACCUGAAGAAAGAUUGCAUUUUUUUUCCAAUCAUUUAGUCAACAAAUAUGUUCAUUCCUGCUUUCUAGAUUUGCACCCAUAUUAGAAAGUUUUUCACAAAAUCAAAAUUCAUGACCAUACCAAUCUCAGAUUAAACACAAAGCACUAUUAACUGCCUCAGAUUAUGUAGAAAUGCAAACUAAUAUAGACCCUAGAGAGAAAAACAACCUACCCACUUGAGAUUGAACAUAAAGCAAAACAAAUUGCCACAAAUUAGGAAUAUAAGAUAGUACUAACCAUAUUCUACAUUAUUGUCGAGGAAAGGACGACCCCUCUAUCCAACCUUCAAAUUCCAAAAGGGGACAAUCCAUACUGAGCAAAUUGAUGAGCAGAAAAAUUGACCUUCCUCAUCGUCUUAGUUUCUCUCUGGGCAGUGACGCCGAGAACCCCUUCGCCGAAAACGCUUCAUCGUCGCAGUGAGUAGAAAGAGGGCAACGCAGAUAUUGGAGUAAACGUUUUCUCAAAUCCCAAACGUCGUUAAUGGUUUUAUUUCGUCUUUUAGAACCGUUCACCGCUUUUCCAAGCAGCCGUAACCUUGACAUGGGAUGAACUCGUAGUUUCAUUUCCUCUGAAAUCAAAAGUGUGGCAAACACCCGGGUGGAAUCAGCGGAGAAG